GACGAACGCUGGCGGCGUGCCUAAUACAUGCAAGUAGAACGCUGAAGGAAGGAGCUUGCUCUUUCUGGAUGAGUUGCGAACGGGUGAGUAACGCGUAGGUAACCUGCCUGGUAGCGGGGGAUAACUAUUGGAAACGAUAGCUAGUACCGCAUAAAAUUGAUUAUUGCAUGAUAGUCAAUUAAAAGGUGCAACUGCACCACUACCAGAUGGACCUGCGUUGUAUUAGCUAGUUGGUGGGGUAACGGCUCACCAAGGCGACGAUACAUAGCCGACCUGAGAGGGUGAUCGGCCACACUGGGACUGAGACACGGCCCAGACGCCUACGGGAGGCAGCAGUAGGGAAGCUUCGGCAAUGGACGGAAGUCUGACCGAGCAACGCCGCGUGAGUGAAGAAGGGUUUCGGAUCGUAAAGCUCGGUUGUAAGAGAAGAACGAGUGUGAGAGUGGAAAGUUCACACUGUGACGGUAUCUUACCAGAAAGGGACGGCUAACUACGUG
rnacentral:rRNA from 1 species